rnacentral:rRNA from 1 species
CCUACGGGUGACAGCAGUGGGGGAUAUUGCACAAUGGGGGAAACCCUGAUGCAGCGACGCCGCGUGAGUGAAGAAGGGCCUCGGCUCGUAAAGCCCUGUCAGCAGGGAAGAAAAUGACGGUACCUGCGAAGGAAGCACCGGCUAACUACGUGCCAGCAGCCGCGGUAAUACGGAGGGAGCGAGCGUUACUCGGAAUUACUGGGCGUAAAGCGCUCGUAGGCGGUAUGUGAAGUCAAGGGUGAAAUCCUCGCGCUCAACGUGAGAACUGCCUUUGAAACUGGAAAACUGGAGUGUGGGAGAGGAUAGUGGAAUUCCAGGUGUAGCGGUGAAAUCCGUAGAUAUCAGGAGGAACAUCAGUGGCGAAGGCGACUCUCUGGCACAUAACUGACGCUGAGGAGCGAAAGCGUGGGUAGCAAACAGGAUUAGAUACCCCAGUAGUC